UUUUGACUGAACGUGGUUUUUGUGCAGGUUGGAUCAAAUAGAUGUGGAGCAUUCAAGGGACUGAUAGAUUCAGCCAGCUGGAAGGAAGCUGGUUGGGGUAUUUAUGGUCAACCCCAGAAGGAGUAAAAAGAGGCCACUGGUCUUUGACUUUCACAAGGCUCCCCGGCAGAAAGAAAAAAAGUGGUGAUGGUCCAGGAAGAUGAAGGAUAGAGGAGAAAAAAGGAAGAGUUCUUCA
rnacentral:lncRNA from 1 species